GGGUCUAAAGCUGCUGGAGAGGGUGCAGAGGCCAUGGAGUUGGUGAAGGUUUGGAGUGAAGCCAUGUGAGCAGCGGCUGCAGUCCCUGGGUUUGCUCAGCUGGAGCAGAGCAGACUGAGCGCAGAGCUCAUGGGCUGCAGGUUCCUCAGCAGGAGCAGGAGGGGCAGGCUGAGCUCUGCUCUGUGACAGUGACAGACCCAGGGAACGGCAGGAGAUGUGCCAGGGGGGCAGUGGACAUGAGGCAAAGGUUCUUCCCCAGAGGUGCUGGACACUGAACAGGCUCCCAGGGAGGGGUCACGGCCCAACCUGACAGUGUUCAACAAGAGACUGGACACCGUCCUCAGACACAUGGGUGACCUGUGGGGUGUCCUGUGCAGGGACAGGAGCUGGACUCCAUGAUCCUGUGGGUCCUUCCAGCCCAGGACAUUCUGUGAUUCUAUGAUUCUAUAAACUAUUCUGUGAUUCUAUAAACUAUUCUGUGAUUCUGUGUUCUGCUUAUCUCCGUUCACUUUGAAAACUCCUGGGCUUCCACCCAUGGUUUUGCGGAGCCCAAGCCCAGAGCUCAGAGCUGCUGUGGCAGCCACCUCGAGCCUGAUCUGUCCCCCCACGUCAGCCAGGGGGUGUAACGGCUGUAGUAACAAACCUCCAUCAGAAUGACUGCACAAACGCGAAUGGUUCAGACAUUUGAGUUAACAUUUCCCUAAUGCAAUUCCUCUUUGCAAUAAAAAUGCAUUUACCAUGUCCCUGGGCACACUAUUUCUUCAUUAGUGUUUAACUGGUGGGGAAAGGCUGGCCCCAAAGCAUGCCAUAAUAAAUAUAACUUUAGACACUGAAAUCAGACCAUCUUCAUGCACUCUGAGGCUCUUGAGCUACAAUGUUCAGCACUAAUAUUCCAUUUCUCCCCCUCACCAACAAUGGCCGUUAGAACAUUUUGUUCUCAUCAUAUCCUCUGGUAGGACAAAAUCCUCCCCAGACAUUUAUUUUAUUAUUAUGUUGUUUUCAAAACCCUUUAUCCAUCAGUGCACCAAGUGCUGCAGUACAAUCCAUUCCAAGAUUUAGGAAGACCCCCAUGAACCUCCUGCCUCUCGCUGACACCUUUCUGAGGGCUGAGAGGGGAUUUAAAUCACACCUAGACAUGCUGCUGACCUUCUGAAUUAAAUCAUAAAACCAUUGAAUGGUUUGUGUUGAAGGACCUCCCCAGCUCCCCAGUGCUCCCCCUGCCAUGAGCAGGGACAUCUUCACCAGCUCAGGGUGCUCAGAGCCCCGUCCAGCCUGGCCUGGGAUGUCUCCAGGGAUGGUUCAUCCACCACCUCUCUGGACAACCUGGGCCAGGCUCUCACCACCCUCAUGAAGAAGGAGGUAUAUAAUUGCAACACUGCAAGAGUGUCUGCCACCAUAUGAUAAGGGCAGAGCAAGAGGUCUUUGCAGGGAAAACCCACAGAGAGCUGAUGGGCUUAGAGGUAGAUGUCCCAGAGUAUCUCUUCUGGUCCAGAUGAACUCAUUGUGUCACCCAUGGUCAACAGGUUGAGGAAGGGGAUUCUGCCCCGCUCUGGUGAGACCCCCCCUGCAGUGCUGGUCCAGCUCUGGGUCCUCAGCACAGGACACACAUGGAGCUGCUGGAGAGGGGCCAGGGGAGCCCCAGGAGUGACCCGAGGCUGGAGCAGCUCUGCUGGGGACAGGUGAGAGAGUUGGGGUGUUCAGCUGGAGAGGAGAAGCUCCAGGGAGACCUUAGUGCAGCCUUUCCGGACUGAAAAGGGGCCCAUAAGAAAGAUGGGGACAGACUUUUGAGCAGGGCCUGUUGUGACAGGACAAGGAGUGAUGGUUUAAACUAAAGGAGGGAGAUUCAGGCUGGACAUGAGGAAGAAAUUGUUGCCCUGAGGGUGGUGAGAGCCUGGCCCAGGUUGGCCAGAGAGGUGGUGGCUGAACCAUCCCUGGAGACAUCCCAGGCCAGGCUGGACGGGGCUCUGAGCACCCUGAGCUGCUGAAGAUGUCCCUGCUCAUGGCAGGGGGACUGGGGAGCUGGGAAGGUCCCUCCAACCGUAACCAUCCUGUGAUUCUCUGCCCAGUAGAGGGGACGGUCAUUUCUCUGUCCUCCUGGUCACAGUAGUGCCGAUAUGAGCCAGGAUGCUGGUGGCCUCCUUGGCCACCUGAGCACACACUGGCUUUAGGAUUCAUCUACCCAUCAGCCUGCCACAGAGCAGGAACAACUUUACCCAACCCAUGCCUGGCCUGACUCCCUGGGGAGGGGAGUCUGGAGAGAGGAAGAGGAGCAGGAGGGGAAGAGGAGGAGAUCUCUGGGGGGUCUCCAGUGUGCAUCCCCUGCCACCAUGCACAGGCACCGAUGGCACAGUGCAGAGCUGUGUGUCAUGCCAGUGGGACCUGGUGCUGCAGGCAUUAAUGCAUCUCCUUGAGCGCUGAGCAGCCAAGAGCCCUCCUGCUCCUUCUCCCAGUGGGGAUUGCUCAGGGUUUUCUAUAAAGCCUCUGCUGCUGUGAGCCCUGACAGUCAGGACCAGGCUGGCUCCUUGCAGUGGAGCUGGCAGGAAGCUCAGGGUGGUCACAGUGGUCAGAUGAGUCGUCUUUGCCGUGGAAGAUCUCACCGUCCCACUGACCAGGGCUCCUCACAGAUGUGAUCCCCGCACCUACAGAGAGCCCCUCCACCAUCCUGUCAUUUCACCUCAUUUCAGCUGCACGAGACCUACAGGUGGGUAUUCCAGAUAGGGCACACAGAGAGGCCUGCGAGCACCAUGGGGAGAUGACCCUGGAGAUUACGGUCCUUGAGUCCUGCCCCCAUCCUUCCUGGCAGCAGGAGUUUACAGAAAUAAAACUUCUGUGAAAGCAGCUCCACGUCUCCUCCCGGUAUUUCUAAUGGGAGGGUGUCCAGAGACAUCCUGCUUUGAUACGGUGUCCCUGUAAUUUCCAGCUUACAUUUAUCUGUGUACAAUUUACACGUUGUUUUGUGAGUAAUCACUAUCCUUCAGCUUAAGUAUAUCUUUUUUCGCUCCAUGUGUUUGUAGCUGGCCUGUGUUGUGUUGCUCUAAAAGGGUCAGGCUCUCCCAGUCUCCAUUCCUAAGAAAGUUGGUCUAUUUCCACAGGCACCCAGUAUCUCAUCCAUUGUCAGCUCCUCUUCUUUCACCAGAGGUUCACAGCAAACACAGAGUUCCAGAUGAGAGCUCCCCACAGCCCACUCUAACUGCAAUGUCACUCCUCUCUCGAUUUGCGUCUACACAGAUACUCACAGAUUUUAUUUUAUUUUCCUAAUUGAUCAUUCCCCUGCUGUACCAGGCACCAGAACUAGCACCUGCCUAUGCCGGUCGUGGACCACACGUGCUCUGUGCC